GAUCUAUGGUGCUCAAGAAAGGAUUUUUAAAUUGACAGGCUGAAAGAUACCAGCAUUGGGAGAGUUUAUUAAACCCACAGCCAAUGAACUUGGUUCAGCCAAUGUCUUUAAAAGAAUGAGUGUCUGAAAAGCGGCAGGGCCCUGUAUCGUUUUAGCACUGAAAAAUGAGACAGAGAUUUUGAACAGUGUGAAAUGGACAUUCUGUUCUGCAGUCGAAAGUGUGUGAGAGAGGAAACAGACUGUACCAGAAGAAGAACGAAGAAGAAAGUCUGAACAGGGACAGAUUUAUUCAAAGCGCUGUCUACAGUUCCUUUCAAGACUUCAGAAACUCGAGAACUACUCGGAAUGUGAGCGGACGGGGCAGGAGUGAAGUGAAGGAGAGUAAAAUGGUGGGGAUGAUGCCAGCACUGAAUUCUCGAGUCACGUUACUGAACAUAGUGGAUCAACACAAAGAUAAAGAGGCUGGCUUUGUGGGCAUGCAAUCUAUGCAGUCACCGAGUCUGAGUCCCCGUGCCCAGAAGAGCUUCUUGAUUUGUUUAAUGGUUUUUGGCCCCCCUUAAAAUUUUUAAUAUUUGUUGUAAAUUAUUUAAUUGGUUCUGAGGCAAAUUAGAGGUAAUGCUUAUUUUGAUGAUGAACUGUGAAUAAUAACAGAAGUACCAGACUGGAAGAUCUCACCUAGGAUGCAUCACUAAUUAAUAGUCUGAGCACUGGAAGUUAACCAUUUAAUCUAUCUGGUGAACUUGGUGAGUGAGUUAAACUGGAGCAGUAGUUUAAAGCAGAUGAUACAUUCCUUAUGAUUUUUGAUUUUUGCUGCAGCGGGGAAGAGCUUCCCUGGUGGCUCAGAUGUAAUACAGGAGACCUGGGUUUGAUCCCUGGGUCAGGAAGAUCCCCUGGAGAAGGGAAUGGCAACCCAUUCCAGUGUUCUUGCCUGGAGAAUUUCAUGGACAGAGGAGACUGGUGGGCUUUAUAGUCCAUGGAGUUGCAAAGAGUCAGACAUGACUGAGCAGCUAACACUGCUACUACUGAUGGAGGGGAACGAGGGGACCGGCCUCUGGGUCCCUGUUCCUGCUUCAGUGUGAAGAGUGGGUCUUUUGUCUCUUGCAUGUUCCAAAGGUCUCUUCAGGGUCAACUACACUAUUCUAGGAAUAAUAUUCUUGGAAGUCAGAACUUAUGACUGGGGAUGAGGUAAAAACAGAGAGGCAUAGAGUGCAGUGAUUUUCCAGGAUGAAAGGAGUUUAUGUAAAGAUUUGGAUUGGGAAGGGCCAGAUGCCAAGAAAAUUAUGAUGGCAAAUUAAACUCCUCACUUGCCAGCUGAAAUACUGUCUGCAACGAAUUCUUCCUUGAUUCACCUUGUUUCUUCUGACAUUUCUUUCAUCUGAACUCCCAUUGGCCUUAAGAUCUUAUCACUCAUUUGACACAAACAUGCUGCUUUAAAUAACAUUUUGAUAAAAAUGCUAAUAUUAGCAUUGCAGUACUGUAUUUUUUGUUUCUG
rnacentral:lncRNA from 1 species